rnacentral:misc_RNA from 1 species
AAGUCGUAACAAGGUUUCCGUAGGUGAACCUGCGGAAGGAUCAUUAACACGUAUCCAACGUUAAACAACCCUGUGAACUUUAAGCCUACUCUUGCAGCCCAUGAGGAACAGCAAUCCCGGUAAAUCAUUGCCAAACAGUUUUGAUUCGGGACCUCUGUCCAAAAGGAGUUGCAAUUGAGUGGCACUAGAAAAUGCCCCGCCUAGUGGUAACGCGCUAGGUAAAAAAAACCGAACAACUGUUAACAAUGGAUAUCUUGGUUCUC